AACGAACGCUGGCGGCAUGCCUAAUACAUGCAAGUCGAACGAGAUCUUCGGAUCUAGUGGCGCACGGGUGCGUAACGCGUGGGAAUCUGCCCUUGGGUUCGGAAUAACUUCUGGAAACGGAAGCUAAUACCGGAUGAUGACGUAAGUCCAAAGAUUUAUCGCCCAAGGAUGAGCCCGCGUAGGAUUAGCUAGUUGGUGAGGUAAAGGCUCACCAAGGCGACGAUCCUUAGCUGGUCUGAGAGGAUGAUCAGCCACACUGGGACUGAGACACGGCCCAGACUCCUACGGGAGGCAGCAGUAGGGAAUAUUGGACAAUGGGCGCAAGCCUGAUCCAGCAAUGCCGCGUGAGUGAUGAAGGCCUUAGGGUUGUAAAGCUCUUUUACCCGGGAUGAUAAUGACAGUACCGGGAGAAUAAGCUCCGGCUAACUCCGUGCCAGCCGCCGCCGUGAGAC
rnacentral:rRNA from 1 species